AAUUUCUUGAAAGAAGCAAUGACCAGAGUGAGACUGGAUUUCUUGGAUCAACUAGCAAAAUUUUGGGAACUUCAAGGAUCUACUCUGAAGAUCCCUGUGGUAGAGAGAAAAAUCCUGGAUCUGUAUGCUUUGAGCAAGCUUUAAAUGUUGUAUAUUGAUUUCCUCCUGUUGAAGAUGGAGAAUGGGUG